AACGUAGGAUCCGAGCGUUAUCCGAAUUCACUGGGCGUAAAGCGCGUGUAGGCGGCUGGCUAAGUUGGAUGUGAAAUCUCCCGGCUCAACUGGGCGAGGACGUUCAAGACUGGCUGGCUAGAGGACGGUAGAGGAAGGUGGAAUUCCCGGUGUAGUGGUGAAAUGCGUAGAGAUCGGGAGGAACACCAGUGGCGAAGGCGACCUUCUGGACCGUUCCUGACGCUGAGAUGCGAAAGCUAGGGGAGCAAACGGG
rnacentral:rRNA from 1 species